rnacentral:rRNA from 1 species
AGUGAACGCUGGCGGUAGGCCUAACACAUGCAAGUCGAACGGCAGCACAGGAGAGCUUGCUCUCCGGGUGGCGAGUGGCGGACGGGUGAGGAAUACAUCGGAAUCUACUCUGUCGUGGGGGAUAACGUAGGGAAACUUACGCUAAUACCGCAUACGACCUACGGGUGAAAGCAGGGGAUCUUCGGACCUUGCGCGAUUGAAUGAGCCGAUGUCGGAUUAGCUAGUUGGCGGGGUAAAGGCCCACCAAGGCGACGAUCCGUAGCUGGUCUGAGAGGAUGAUCAGCCACACUGGAACUGAGACGCGGUCCAGACUCCUACGGGAGGCAGCAGUGGGGAAUAUUGGACAAUGGGCGCAAGCCUGAUCCAGCCAUACCGCGUGGGUGAAGAAGGCCUUCGGGUUGUAAAGCCCUUUUGUUGGGAAAGAAAUCCAGCUGGCUAAUACCCGGUUGGGAUGACGGUACCCAAAGAAUAAGCACCGGCUAACUUCGUGCCAGCAGCCGCCGUAA